rnacentral:rRNA from 1 species
GAGAGAAAGGUGGGAAUCCUUUCGGCCGAAUAUCUAAGGUUUCCAGAGUAAAGCUGAUCUGCUCUGGGUAAGUCGGGGCCUAAGCACAGGUCGCAAGACGUAAGCGAUGGAUAACAGGUUUAGAUUCCUGUACCACGCAUUAUCAGAACUGUAGGGACGCAUGUGGAAAGCACGGGCCGGGAAUGGAAAGACCGGUACAAGCGGGGUAGGUGUACAAUAGGCAAAUCCGUUGUAUAAUCCGAAGACGUGAUGUGGAGCGAAAUAAAGUAGUGAAGCGUGUGAGCCAUGUGCCGAGAAAAGCUGCUAUUGUGUAAUGCGUGCCCGUACCGUAAACCGACACAGGUGGAUGAGGAGAGAAUCCUAAGGCCGGCGGAAGAAGCAUUGUUAAGGAAUUCGGCAAAAUGACCCCGUAACUUCGGGAGAAGGGGUGCCUGCGAGAGCAGGCCGCAGAGAAUAGGCUCAAGCAACUGUUUAGCAAAAACACAGGUCUAUGCGAAUCCGAAAGGUGAAGUAUAUGGGCUGACGCCUGCCCGGUGCUGGAAGGUUAAGAGGAGAGGUUAGCUUCGGCGAAGCUUUGAAUUUAAGCCCCAGUAAACGGCGGCCGUAACAAUAACGGUCCUAAGGUAGCGAAAUUCCUUGUCGGGUAAGUUCCGACCCGCACGAAAGGCGUAAUGAUUUGAGCACUGUCUCGACAAUGCAUCCGGUGAAAUUGAAGUACCAGUGAAGAUGCUGGUUACCCGCGCCAGGACGGAAAGACCCCAUGGAGCUUUACUCCAGUUUGAUACUGGGAUUCGGUACUGCAUGUACAGGAUAGGUGGGAGACGAAGAAGGAUGGACGCCAGUCUGUCCGGAGUCGCUGUUGGGAUACCACCCCUGUAGUACUGGGUUUCUAACCAGUGGCCAUGAACUGGCAAUGGGACAAUGUCAGGCGGGGAGUUUGACUGGGGCGGUCGCCUCCGAAAGGGUAUCGGAGGCGCUCAAAGGUUCCCUCAGAAUGGUUGGAAACCAUUUGAAGAGUGCAAAGGCAGAAGGGAGCUUGACUGCGACACCGACGGGUGGAGCAGGUACGAAAGUAGGACUUAGUGAUCCGGUGGUAUAAAGUGGGAUUGCCAUCGCUCAACGGAUAAAAGCUACCCUGGGAUAACAGGCUUAUCACUCCCAAGAGUUCACAUCGACGGAGUGGUUUGGCACCUCGAUGUCGGCUCAUCGCAUCCUGGGGCUGUAGCAGGUCCCAAGGGUUGGGCUGUUCGCCCAUUAAAGCGGUACGCGAGCUGGGUUCAGAACGUCGUGAGACAGUUCGGUCCCUAUCCGGCGCGGGCGGAGGAUAUUUGAGAGGAGCUGUCCUUAGUACGAGAGGACCGGGAUGGACGGACCACUGGUGUAUCUGUUGUCGACCAACGGCAUGGCAGAGUAGCCAAGUCUGGAAGGGAUAAACGCUGAAGGCAUCUAAGCGUGAAGCCCCCCUCAAGAUGAGAUAUCCCUCCUUCGGGAGUAAGACCCCUUGAAGACUACAAGGUAGAUAGGGCAGAGGUGGAAGCAUGGCAACAUGUGGAGCUGACUGUUACUAAUAGGUCGAGGGCUUAAUAA